CCUACGGGUGGCAGCACGGGAAGCUUGGACAAUGGGCGAAAGCCUGAUCCAGCCAUGCCGCGUGUGUGAAGAAGGCCUUCGGGUUGUAAAGCACUUUCAGUGGGGAAGAAAGCCUUGGGGCUAAUACCCUCGAGGAAGGACAUCACCCACAGAAGAAGCACCGGCUAACUCCGUGCCAGCAGCCGCGGUAAUACGGAGGGUGCGAGCGUUAAUCGGAAUUACUGGGCGUAAAGCGCGCGUAGGCGGUCUGAUAAGCCGGUUGUGAAAGCCCCGGGCUCAACCUGGGAACGGCAUCCGGAACUGUCAGGCUAGAGUGCAGGAGAGGAAGGUAGAAUUCCCGGUGUAGCGGUGAAAUGCGUAGAGAUCGGGAGGAAUACCAGUGGCGAAGGCGGCCUUCUGGACUGACACUGACGCUGAGGUGCGAAAGCGUGGGUAGCAAACAGGAUUAGAUACCCGAGUAGUC
rnacentral:rRNA from 1 species